CGCCGGAAGACCAGGCUAGUGCGGAGCGGGGCUAGCGCUCACAGGCCGGUGCUCGCUCCGCGGCGGGAGAGCGUCUCUAUGUUUCAAAGUGACAACUUGCCAGUUUCACAAUGCAUCCUUUCCUAAAAACUGACCACCAUCUCUGGUCUAGUUUUGGCUGACUCAUGGAGGAUGUCCAGUGGAGGAUUUUUGUGUCUUAUGCUUCACCUUUUCACGUCAGAGUAAAACUGCCUUUGCAAAGAUUAUGAUGACUUUUGCAUCCUGGCAACUGACUAACUUCACCCAGAUGAUCUGAGACUCAGGAAUCAACCGGUCCUGUGGGCCCCCCACCUAGAGGCUGACUCAGCACAUGAGGACUGUUUUCCACACCCCUAUGAUUUCUUCCCCAACCAGUCAGCAGCACCCAUUCCCUAGCCCCCUCCCACCAAAUUAUCCAUAGUACUCUAGCCUCUCAGUUCUCAAGAAGACUGAUUUGAGUAAUAAACUCCCACCUUCUGCUUACCUAACCCUGCAAUAAUUAAA